AAAUUACUAAGGGUUUUUUUGGCAAUGCAUGAUUAUAGGUAAGCAUGGAUUUAUUGUUGGAUUGUGUUUCGAAAUUUAAUAUUUUUGCAUAUCAUUUGUCUUGAUUGUACAACUCUUAUAUCGCCUUUUGUUUCCUUUUAGUUUAGUGUUUAUCUUUUAGUAAAUACCUAUGAUAUUCAAUUUUCUUAUUAAUAAAUAAUAUAUGCGUGUGAAGAUGAGAGGAAGAGUUAGG
rnacentral:misc_RNA from 1 species